rnacentral:rRNA from 1 species
GACGAACGCUGGCGGCGUGCUUAACACAUGCAAGUCGAACGGACAGGCCCUGCUUUUGUGGGGUGCUCGAGUGGCGAACGGGUGAGUCACACUUGAGUAACCUGCCCUUGACUUUGGGUUAACUUCAGGAAACUGGGGCUAAUACCGCACUGGACCUCCUGCUGCAUGUUGGGGGUUGGCCUGUUUCGGCGGUUGGGGAUGGACUCGCGGCUUAUCAGCUUGUUGGUGGGGUAGUGGAUUACCAAGGCUUUGACGCGUAGCCGGCCUGAGGGGGUGACCGGCCACAUUGGGGAUGGGAUACGGCUCAGACUCCUACGGGAGGCAAGAGUGGGGAAUAUUGCACAAUGGGCGGAAGCGUGAUGCAGCAACGCCGCGUGCUGGAUGACGGCCUUCGGGUUGUAAAGCGCUUUCGCCUGUGACGAAGCGUGUGUGACGGUAAUGGGUAAAGAAGCACCGGCUAACUACGU